AAAUACUUUCUCCAUUUCUUAUUGGAAUAAUAAUUAUGUCGAGGUGCCACGGAAGAAUAAAUGCGGCUGUCUUCACUUUGCUUAUUGCCUAUAUAGUUUUGUCAGUCUGUUCAUGUCCCUUGCUUAUAGAAGCCAGAAUUCAAAAGUUCUCAGCUAUCCAAGGUGCAGAUCAAUCUUCGCAACUUCAAUUAAUUUCUUGUAAAUAUUAAUCACCAUUUAAUCAUUUAUAUAGUAGUUUUAUUUAUUAAUUAGUCUUUGCUUCGAACUUCUAAUUACAUGCGACAGGAAGUUUAGUUCAUCAAAGUAAGAAAGAAGGAUUAGACCAUCGGAGACGAAUGAGAGAAGCUCCUAAACGACCUUUUCCUCCGGCAGGCAAUCGUGGGCCCCGUGCCGGAAAUUUUUAGAUUGUUUGGAUCCAAUGAUAUGGAACAACUCCGAAUGCCACUGUCAAAAAAUUCAAAAUCGUUUCGUGCACGCCUGUAAUUUAAUUGAGCCGAUAACGGCGGAAAAGCGGAAAUCAGAAGACUUCAGCUCAGUUCGGUAUUAUUUGUAUGCGAGAAAUAAAAUAUUCAAACAACUAACGCAAAAAUCAAGAGUUAUUUAAUUCAGUUUAUAUAAUAAAUUUAUAUGAAUUUGUAGCUCUAUCUUCAUUGUAUUAUCAUAAACGAAGAGCGUUAUUCCUAUUUAUGCUUUGCUUGUAACCUUUUUAAUUACCGCUAUCAAGUCAUCGAGUUCAUG
rnacentral:lncRNA from 1 species